CGCAAGCCUGACGGAGCUACACCGCGUGAGGGAAGACGGCCUUUGGGCUGUAAACCUCUUUUCUCAGGGAAGAAGGACUGACGGUACCUGAGGAAUCAGCCUCGGCUAACUCCGUGCCAGCAGCUGCGGUAAUACGGAGGAGGCAAGCGUUAUCCGGAAUCAUUGGGCGUAAAGCGUUCGUAGGCGGCUGUUCAAGUCUGCUGUCAAAGACCGAGGCUCAACCUCGGGUCGGCAGUGGAAACUGGUGGGCUAGAGGGCGACAGGGGUAGAGGGAAUUCCCAGUGUAGCGGUGAAAUGCGUAGAUAUUGGGAAGAACACCGGUGGCGAAAGCGCUCUACUGGGUCGCACCUGACCCUCAGGGACGAAAGCUAAGGUAGCG
rnacentral:rRNA from 1 species